GGUCCUACGGGAGGCAGCAGUGGGGGAUAUUGCACAAUGGGGGAAACCCUGAUGCAGCGACGCCGCGUGAGCGAUGAAGUAUUUCGGUAUGUAAAGCUCUAUCAGCAGGGAAGAAAAUGACGGUACCUGACUAAGAAGCCCCGGCUAACUACGUGCCAGCAGCCGCGGUAAUACGUAGGGGGCAAGCGUUAUCCGGAUUUACUGGGUGUAAAGGGAGCGUAGACGGCAGUGCAAGUCUGAAGUGAAAGGCAAGGGCUCAACCCCGGGACUGCUCUUGGAACUGC
rnacentral:rRNA from 1 species